UGAGUAACACGUAUCCAACCUGCCGAUGACUCGGGGAUAGCCUUUCGAAAGAAAGAUUAAUACCCGAUGGCAUAGUUCUUCCGCAUGGUAGAACUAUUAAAGAAUUUCGGUCAUCGAUGGGGAUGCGUUCCAUUAGGUUGUUGGCGGGGUAACGGCCCACCAAGCCUUCGAUGGAUAGGGGUUCUGAGAGGAAGGUCCCCCACAUUGGAACUGAGACACGGUCCAAACUCCUACGGGAGGCAGCAGUGAGGAAUAUUGGUCAAUGGACGAGAGUCUGAACCAGCCAAGUAGCGUGAAGGAUGACUGCCCUAUGGGUUGUAAACUUCUUUUAUACGGGAAUAAAGUGAGGCACGUGUGCCUUUUUGUAUGUACCGUAUGAAUAAGGAUCGGCUAACUCCGUGCCAGCAGCCGCGGUAAUACGGAGGUAUCCGAGCGUUAUCCGGAUUUAUUGGGUUUAAAGGGAGCGUAGGCGGACGCUUAAGUCAGUUGUGAAAGUUUGCGGCUCAACCGUAAAAUUGCAGUUGAUACUGGGUGUCUUGAGUACAGUAGAGGCAGGCGGAAUUCGUGGUGUAGCGGUGAAAUGCUUAGAUAUCAC
rnacentral:rRNA from 1 species